rnacentral:rRNA from 1 species
UACGUAGGGUGCAAGCGUUAAUCGGAAUUACUGGGCGUAAAGCGUGCGCAGGCGGUUAUGUAAGACAGAUGUGAAAUCCCCGGGCUCAACCUGGGAACUGCAUUUGUGACUGCAUAGCUAGAGUACGGUAGAGGGGGAUGGAAGUCCGCGUGUAGCAGUGAAAUGCGUAGAUAUGCGGAGGAACACCGAUGGCGAAGGCAAUCCCCUGGACCUGUACUGACGCUCAUGCACGAAAGCGUGGGGAGCAAACAGG